rnacentral:lncRNA from 1 species
UCUUGCAAUUAUCCUUUUAAACACAAUCACGCAAUCCUUAAUUCGUGAGGACACCCUUUAAUUUGGGGAUACAAUUUGUUGCAAUCUUUUCAGAUUCAAAACAUAGGAAAAUCAUAACGAAGACAAACAUAUGUACUUAGCCACAUACACCUUUUGAAUACAAGCUUCAUAUCAACAUUCUCAUAAAAUCUAAAGAUCAAAAGCAGUAACCCAAACUAGAUUUUUAGUUCGAAUAAUUGAGCUACCUCGGGUUUGCAGGCUGGAAAGAUACAGCAGAAGAGGAAAAAUUAAGAUGAUGAUGAAAAAAAAAAAAAAAAAAUCGAAGUAAACAUAACUCUUGGCUCAGUUCCUUCCCCCAUUUUGCAUUUCCUUCGAAACUAACUGCAUGAGAACGGCAAAAGAAGAUGCAUCAAUCGUAAUAGUUGGAUAAUUAAACAAGUCAAAAGCAGCCCUUCUACAAGCUAUCAUGCUAUACAAAUUUUAGGUAGAAACAGAUACUAGCACUAUCUGAUUCAUAGAUAUUCAAUGUAUGCAAUGAAACGAUCCCUUAAACUAUAUAAUAGUUCAAGGUGAACAGCUAAAGAACUUAGAACAGCAAGGCCAACCAGCUGCGAGCAAUGUACUAGCACACAAUGAAAAUAAAAAUUGUCCCGCCCUAGUAUUAUACAGGCAAAAGUGGCCAAUAUGAAGAGAUUCCACAAAUAGAAGAGGUGAAAUCGCCCUGGUCAAUUAAAAAUUGGUUAGCAGUAAACAGAUUAAUAGCUUCUACACUUCAACUCUUCCUUGUGGCGAACCAUAAUUAAACACUUCUCAAGUGCCAGAUGGUUAUUCUUCAUUUUUCCCAAGUAUCUUUCCAGGCUGAUAAUUGUGUAGAUAGAGCAAGAAACAGGUGAUAUAGGCCUACACACACCCCCCAUAAAAAGGGGGGGGGGGGGGGGUUGUUGCAGGCCAGAGCAGUAGGAGUAAACAGAAAGGGAGGGAUGAGGGUAAUUUCUUCUGAUUGUUAUAGAAGAAAGGUUGCAAAGCAGGAAAGAAAAAGAAAUUUUAAGUUUUUUGAGAACAAAAAAUGGAAGGAAAGGGAGACAGGAAAAAAAAAAAAAAAAAACCGAAAAAAAGAUCACAACUAGUUUCUGGGCUUUCAGAAGUUGUUCCCUCUUAAUAUUCGGCUACAUUAAACUAUAUAAGAAAGAACAGAAUAGUUAAGGAAGAAGCAGAAUCCAGGCCCAAAACUUUGGAUGCAUGCCCAAUUAACCCUUCAUCCGAAGUCCAAAAUUCAAAAAUAGUUCAUAACCCCCAAGAGAACAUCACUAAACCAUACAGCCAUCCCCUCCCGCAUGGUGUCCAUUAUAACACUACACUUGAAGGAAGUGCGUAUGAUACGUGUGUUAGGACGGGGAAAUACAUGGAAUUGACCCAAAUAAAAGAGGCCAUUUUCCAAAUUAACCCUCGACUUUUCCAAACAUUUGUAACUACCUAAUAUACCCUUAAACAAAUAUUAAAAACAACCUAUUUCAUAAUAAAAAUCUUCUAUCUAAGUCCUUAAAAAAUUAACAAGUAACUUUUCUAAAAAUUUGAAAGAAUUAUUAAUUUUUA